UAGUGAGCCUGUAAGGCAUGAAUCAACAGGAAAAAUUAUAGAAAGGAAAAUAAUAGCGAGAAGGAGGGUCCACAACUACUGCCUUCCCCAAGAAGGCCAUCUUUGAGGCCACAUCAGCAAGGUCACCGUCUACAAAGGACUCAUUUUUUGCCUCACAAUUUCAUUUCUACAGGCUUAGUAUGGGAGGAACCUGCGGUUAUGAUGUAUAAUAAUUCUGGUAUGCGAGAUGAUAAAGA